rnacentral:lncRNA from 1 species
AUUAAAAUUCAGUAUUUAUAAUGUUUUUCCAUAAAGAUCAUUCCAUUAUGUGAAUAUUUAUAGCAAGCUGAUUUUUUCUUUUUCAUUCUUCAUUUUUACACAGUAAAUUAUAUUCUGACGGAUUUAAAAUGUUUUCACAAUAUUUCUUUCUUUUCAAUGCAUAUUUAUGUAAAAAUGUGAAAAAAUGCAAAGACAUUUUUAUGCAAAACAGAUUCCCUACAUCAUUAAGAUCUCCUACUCAACAGCGGGUGCUCUUAAAUAGGUGUGCUCUCUUUCUCUCUCCCCAUUUAUAUACAUAUAUGUUUUUUAUCCUCCUCAAUAUUAUAACUUCUGAAAGGACACUUUAAAGUGGUCAUAUUGCACAUAAUUGGUUUGUGGACAUGAAUGCUUUCUCACAGUUGAUCAAACACCGCACAUUUCUGAUUCACAGUACUUUACCUCAUCUUCUUAUGUGUUUUUAUUAAAUUUUCCAAUACUGUAAUAAAAUAAAAAUAAAAAAAGAGAAAUUUAGUGCAGGUAUGUGCAUUGUACAGGAACAAUGUAGCAUAUAACAUGAUUUCUAAAAAUAAUGUGAAGCCACUCAUGUACAGUUGCAAACAAAGUGCACAAGGGGAAUCAUUAUUUCUUGAAAUAUCAGAAUAAAAUAUUCAAAGUAGUAGAGUAUUCUUGUUAAUAUUGCAACUAAAAAUGAAACCACUUAAGCCUUGAGAAGUUGGGGAAUGAUACCAAGCACAAUGACUAAAAUAUUGCAGAAUUACCU